rnacentral:lncRNA from 10 species
AAACCUUCUUCCUCCCAUAUAUUGCUUGAUUAUCUUUUGGUGGAAUUAUUAGAGUACGGCAUCAUGUUUACAUUCCUCACUUGGGAAGGGCUAAGGUCCAAAGCUCUUAUUCCCAUGUGGUCUUUCUUCCUUUGGGUCUACCUGCCCACAGAACAUUUGUAUUCUUCUUUCUGCUCUGAUGUGCAAGUGGAAGUAACCACUGAGCAGAGCUUCUCCUCCCUGCAGCUGAGUGGGCAAGUCCAUAUGAUUCAGAGGGAAGUAUUUGAAAAUCAAUCUGGACUCUAGUCCAAACAGCUUCCUCCAAUUGAGCUUCACCAGCAAUUGAGGUAGUAUUUUGAUCCCUAUUUGAUGUCUGGGUUUCUUUCUCAAUUGGUUUUGAAUGUCUAGGGUAAAGAGAAGGGUAUGUUUAUAACCUCAGGAACACCAAUACACUGACCCAUAACAGAUUUUAUUACAAAUGGGAAUCAUUAAACUUCCUAAACUUACUAAGAGAGGAUCUAUGGAAUUCCUCUGAACCUCAUUUUUUUUUUGAUGCUGUGGACAUUGGAAAUAGGAGAAUGGGUGCUAUGUUAAACUAAAUUAAAUUACUACCUUUGCUGCAGGAUUGUCAAAGCCACAAUUGUGCACUGUGACUCUCCAAGAGGGUGCUAUUCAGACUUUUCCAAAUGGAUUUGACCACCACAUCUUUAUCAUUAAAUAUCUGUUAAUAUCUUCAAGAACACUACUUGGGACUUCAGAGAAGGAGAAUCCUGGCAACUUUUAGUGUUCCUUUUCCUUUUGAAGCUUUCCUGAGAUGAGCAAUGAUCAAAAUUGUAUCCUUACCAUGAUCCUGCUGUGUGUGAUCCAGAUACAGUACACAUAUCAACAGAAGUCAUCUGGCUACACAGUAGACAUCCAGUAAUAAGGAUUAUUGAUGGCACAGCACAGGAAAAUACCAAAUGGACCACCCUGUACUCAAAUCUCUCUGCUUCCUCUCCUACUGCAUCCCUGUGGUUUGCUCUGGCCACACCACCUUCCUUCAGUGACUCGACUGGAACAUGCUCCCUCCCUCCAGAUCUUUGCACGUGCUCCUCUCUGCUGGAAUCCAAAUGCCCCUCACAUACCUCUUUCUCUGGUUAACACUGUCCCAUCCUUCAUGGGCCACUUAACAUCACAUUCUCAGAAAAGUCUUCCCUGACCUCUGUGCUUUCCCCACCAGACUAACCAGGUACCCUGGUUCUAUCUAAGCUCUCCAGGUUCCCAGAGCUUUUUCCUUUCAUCACUCAUCAUAGUUUGUAAUUUUAUUUAUGUGAUUUUUUUCCAUUACUGUUCACUUUCAUUAUUAGACAAAAAGUUUCAUUAGGGCUUGAGUUGGUUUACCCUUAUCACCCCAGCACCCAGCAUGUAGUAGACAUGUGUAAUUCAUUCCUAGGUUCACACCACAAACGUUUAUUGAACAAAAUACUGAGCUGGUAUAAAUAAAUAUACAAAAAGAAACAGACAAAACUGCCACCCAUCAGGAGAUUAGAGCCAAACAGAAAAGCUACAGUCAACCUUUUGAGAAAUUACCCCAUUACAAAUCUCCUCCAUGCCUUUCCUUCCCCUCUUUCCCUGUGCUUGUUCCUUAAACAUUUAGCCCUGACUAGGAUGUUCCCAAAGCAGAGAAAGGAUGAUUUGGUAAAACUUAAAGCAUUCAAUGCCAACAGCUCUGGGAAAUAAGCUUCAGGAGUAGGGGGUGAUGCCCUACAAUUAUCUAGGAUAAAGUUUGGGAAUUUUCUUUACAAUUCAAUUAACAUCAGAAUUAUUUUAGAGAUGCAAAAGACAGAUCAUAUUACAAAGCAAAAAGAUGUGAAACUCUGAGCAGGUGCAGUGGCUCACACCUGUAAUCCCAGCACUUUGGGAAGCCAAGGUAGGUGGUUUGCUUGAGGCCAGGAGGUCAAGACCAGCCUGGCCAACAUGGCAAAACCCCGUCUCUACUAAAAAUACAAAAAUUAGCCAGGCUUGGUGGCACGUGCCUGUAGUCCCAGCUACUCAGAAGGCUGAGGCAGGAAAACUGUUUGAACUUGGGAGGCGGAGGUUGCAGUAAGCUGAGAUCGCACCAUUGCACUCCAACCUGGGUGACGCUGUCUCAAAAAAAAAAGUUCUGUAACUCUUCCCCUAGCCCUCGUCCCUCUUCCAGGAAUAAUGCCCUUACCAUGAACUGCUACACAGGAUCCAGAUACAAGGGCAGAUUAUAUCAAUACAAAUCCACCACCACCCUCCCCCAUGCUCUGCCUCCUGCCAGAGGGAAUGCAUUUCAGUGUCUACAAUUGUUAUCCCACCUACAGCCUUAGUCACAGAGUGUUUCCUUGGAGAACUCACAACAGUUGUUAUCGUAAUUUAACAAACAUUUAAUGAGUGCCUAUUAGAUGCCUAGCACUGUGGUUGUCCUGUGGGAAAUCCAGGGCAAUGAUGAAUAAGACACUGCCUUUGGGUCAAGAGCACAGUGCCAUGCUAACAGCUGAUACACUUGAAAAGCCUUUAGCCACCCCAUAAUAAUCCUAUUUCUGGAAUGCUUUGUAAGUUGCAAAGAGCUUUCAUUUGUAGCUAUGUGAGGAAGAAAGGACAGGUCCCCCAUUUGAUACAGUAACUGUUUAGGUUCCAGAAGCCUUGAGUGACUUAUUCUAACAAGGGGUGCAACUGGAAACAGGGGUGGUCAUGAAAGUAUGCCGCUCAAUCUCCAGCUACAGGGAGCACACGCUGACUGACAGCUCCAGCUGCUGAGUCUUCCUGCCGGUCACUGCAUCACACUGAGGCCAUGCAUCCUAUGGGCUAAGCACAGCAAGCAAACUAACUCAAGUCCCUUCCUGCAAGACAUGAGACUCCUCUAAUGGGUGACUUGGGACACAAGACUCCCCAACGACCUGCAGGAAACUUUCUUAGAAGAUUCUUUCUAGGCAAUUUUCCUUCCCUUCUCUGUCACAGGUGUCAGACCCACAAAGCCUAAAGACCCUUCUUGCUUGUCCUGCUCCUUCCCCUUUAUGCUCCCCGAAUAAAUCUCCAGCACUUCAGUAAUGUCAUCUUGGAACCUGCUUUUUGGAGGACCUAACAGCACUCUAAUCCAGAUCUUGGGAUUCACAAAUAGACCUUCCACUAAUAAGGAGGCUCCAUUUUGAAUUGCAUUUUGAAAACACUGGGGUAAACCUGGUCUCCUAGGACUUCUUAGACUUAACAAUAUGUAAUAAAAUUUAUCAAAAAUACAAAAGUACCACAGAAUGUCAUGGUUCCCAAACUGAAUGGACAAGAUGUGUUAUUUAGCUCACCUCAGUGGAGACUGGAACAUUGGUUUUUCACAGGUCACAAUUUGAGAAAUGCUGCCAAGCCCCAUCUUCCAGCAAGUACAAACCUAUGCUUCUCUUGGCAUUACUACACAGCCUCAAAACUAAGGGUUUGAUAUUUUCUUCCCUUGCUAUGCUCAGAUGAAUGUGCAAUGCAAUUGCUGAAAAGCAGGCAAAAAAAGCAAGUGACCCAGGCAACCCUCGAACAGUGUACUCUUCCCUUGAAGAAUAAAAAAGUAAUUAUCUAUUAUAUUAAAGCUUUGUUUGUAUUUUUAGAAAAUGUGAUACUUUUGGAUAUUUGAAAUAGGUGUCAUCUCAAGAGACAGGUAAAGGCUGGGCGCCAUGGCUCACACCUGCAAUCUCAGCACUUUGGGAGGUCAAGGCAGGUAGAUAGCUUGAGCUCAGGAGUUUGAGGCCAGCCUGGGCAAAAGGGCAAAACCCCAUCUCUACUAAAAACACAAAAAAUUAUCUGGGUGUGGCAGUAGGCACCUGUAGUCCCAGCUACUCAGGAGGCUGAGGCACAAGAAUUGCAUAAACCCGGGAGGUGGAGGUUGCAGUGAGCCAAGAUCGCACCACUGCACUUGAGCCUGGGUGACAGAAUGAGGAUCUGUCUCAAAAAAAAAAAAAAAAAAAAAAAUUUCAGGUAAAUUGUAUAAGCUUUUAAACAAGCAAUGGAUUCUAAGUUAUCUACAAGUUUUAGCACUGGACUUAUUAUUGUGGGCAUUACCCAGUAGAUCAUGUUAAAAAUGGUUCCACCAAAUGUCAAAAGUCAGUGACUGAACCUCAACUCCCAUUCAUGAUUCAACACCUGAAUGAAAAGGGAGUAAAUCCAGUGAUGCAAGUCAUGAUGUAGCUUUUCUGUAAAUUUUCUGGAGAUGCAAAAGCUCAAAAUGUGUGAAGCUUAAUGGGAAUAUGCAUUCCCAUGUACCAAGGAGGUAUUCCCCGUGUAAACAUAGUUAGGUGAGAGUUAUCUGAAAGAGCAAACAAGGGUCACCUUAGGGUCAAGAGACUUAAACUGAGCCUCCUCAGGUUUUCCUUCUUCUCUGUCCUUGAAAAGCACAGUAAUGAAAAGGAAGUGUUCUUGGUAUGAUAGGAUGGAGGAACUCAUUGCUGUUGAUGACCUACAAUGUAAUAAGCAAAC